UCCCUGGUGGUCCAGCGGUUAGGACUCAGUGCUUCCACUGCUGGGACCCCGGGUUCGAUCCCUGGCCGGGGAA